AACGAAUGCUGGCGGCGCGUCUUAAGCAUGCAAGUCGGGCGGCAAACUGCCUUCGGGCAGCCUAGAGCGGCGGACUGGUGAGUAACGCGUGGGUGACGCACCCCCUUGACGGGGACAGCCCGCAGAAAUGCGGGGUAAUACCGGAUAAGGUUCCCGGGGCCGGAGCCCGGGGAGGAAAGGAGCUAUUGCUCCGCGAGGGGAGCGGCCCGCGUCCCAUCAGCUAGAUGGCGGUGUAACGGACCACCAUGGCGAUGACGGGUACCCGGACUGAGAGGUUGGCCGGGCACAUUGGGACUGAGAUACGGCCCAGACUCC
rnacentral:rRNA from 1 species